rnacentral:lncRNA from 1 species
CUUAAUUCUUUGCUCAGCCUCCCAAAACAUUAGCUGUAUGUGUUUGUACAUAUAAUACUAAGGCACAUGGACUGUCUUUUCCUAAAUUAUGCAAGGCAUGUGAUCAAUUUGGGACUUAUUAAUGACAUUUCUGAAAGUCUCUCAAAAAGUUGGUCAGCCUUUCUUCAUAAAACACAUUUUUACAUGUUUUACAAAGUGCCACAUACACCUGGCCUUUCUGCUACCUCAGCAGCUAUUUCUUCCUGUCUCUUUGGCUAGCUCCUCUUUUACCUGACCUGUAAACCUUGUGGGACCCCAGGGCUCAGUUUUUGCCUCCUUUGUGUUCUUUCUGUAAACUCACUUCCUACGUGAUUUCACCUCCGCCUUACAUACCAGAUGUAUGCUGACGACUUCCACAUUUAAAUCUCCAGCCUCAACCUCUCCC